AUGGAGAUGCUGGGGGACGGACCAGCAGGCUUCCGUUCCUCUGCCAACGCCGUCUACAGGGGGCGCGGCCAGUCCCGUGGCAGGGGCGGUCGUGGCCGAAGCAACAGAGGAGGACGCGGUCGAGGAAACCGCUCCUCUCCCUCUCCGAGUCGUGGAGGUGGCGGCGGCGGUCAUCAGCAGCGCUUUCGCUCUCAACCACAACAGCAGCAGCAACAAGAAGGUGACUACCCGGAGUGCCAAAUCUGCUACAAGUUCCAUGCUGGCGGGGCAAGAGCCUGCUGGCAUCGCUACGACGACGAUCAUGAAGAAAAGAAGGCAGCCAACCUCGUCACCAACAACUAUGGCAUAGAUACCAAUUGGUAUGCAGACUCUGGCGCCACUGAACAUAUCACAGGGGAGCUCGACAAGCUGACGAUGAGGGAAAGGUACCACGGCGGUGAUCAGAUACACACGGCGAGUGGAACUGGACUUGGCAACGAGGAGGGUCAUCCUUAG
rnacentral:rRNA from 1 species